ACCACAAAGUGAUUUUAAUUCCCUUUCUCCAGCUCUUGCUCAGUGUCGCAAGCAUCCAAUACGUCUGAAAUCUUUCUUUAGAGAAGUAAUUUCUCUGCUUCCUUAGCUCUACUGUGUGCUACCACAGAUAACAGUUCAGCUGAUAAAUAAGAGUUUGCAUCACCCAUUGACAUGUGUUAACUCCUGACUUCUGAGGAUGGCCAUGUUCUUCCAGAUGCUGCAAAACCAGAUCUACAAGUGUGGAAUCAGUAGGCUGCAAGAAUUGUGGAGUAUAUCCUGACCCCAAGGUAUGUAAAGAAGGGCUUACUUGCGUUAGAGGACUAACUCCUCCUGGGCAGGUAUUUUCAGGGUUACUGGAACAGUGUAGCUUGGAAUAGUGUCUACUGAAUAUGGUUGAACUUGUACUUGUAGAUGUUCAUCAGAUUAACUACUUCAAGGACUACUAAGGGAGGAGGAGAAAGAUGAAGGUAGAAUGCAGGAAAAGGGCUUGCAAAUGGUCAAGGUUAGUGGAAACGCACCAGUGAGUGCUUGUGUGAUUACAUUACAAGGAGACGCAUAGUAUCUGCCAAGCCUUAGACUUAGUAGCCUUUACAACCAAUUCCUUGGUAAAAAUCUCAUGGGAUUUGAUAUAGCAAAUUGGAUACAGUUCUUGUUGAUGGCUCUAAUGCAUCUGAAGAGCCACUGGCUGGUAGGGUCUGUCCAGCCUUAUGUUAUGCAUAUUUGGGAAGUCAACACUCAAAAAUUUCUCAAUCUUCCCCCACAAACAUGCUUAUAGCAGACAUAUAUGGGUUUCCCUACUCUCCUGUGUGAGUCAGUAAUGGCAAAGUUCCAGAGGGAAAUACUAACCCUUAUCCCCAGUGGUAUAGCCUCCUGAGAGAUGGUUUGUUAGUGCUGAAUAGCAGAUGUUAGAUUCUUUGAUACCCAGAAAGCUGUGGUCACAUCAUUGUCCAUCCUGUGUGUAUAUAUUAGUCAUUCCCACCAGAAAUAGAAUGGUGAUAGCCCAGGUGAGCUGGCCUGCCACAUACCAUGUACCUGAAUGGGCAGGUUCUUAAUCUGGAGUAAAACCUAGAAUAUGUGGAGCAAUUCCUGUGAUCCCAUCUGCAGGAAAAAAACAGGCCCACAAACUGGGGAGAGAAGGUGUCAGAGACUCUGGAAGGAGUGCAAGGAGAAAAUGCAGUGGAUGGAGAGGUACCAAGACCAGUGUGUGUGGAUGUCAUUGCAGAAUCCUACACAAAGGCAGCAUACAGCUCUUAUUCUCUUGGUGAAUUGCAUCUGUUCUUUAGUACAGAGCACUGGUAGAAAAAUGGCUGGAGUAGUUAUGAAGGACUGGUUAUUAACAUUCACCCCAAAGCUGGGUUUGCAGAUGUGACCACCAUAGCGACAACAGAAAACAACUUCAGUAACAAUAAAUAACAUAGGUAAUUUGGGUGGGC